GGAUUUGAAUUAUCGGCAACCAUCAUAUAUUAUAUCUUAGUGAUGGAAGAUGAAAGGAGUAGCAGUGAUUGGCGGUCUACGCAAACAGACCAGACCGAAACGAGUUUGGCAGAUCAAUUGACAAGAGUCUUGCAAAAUCUGCAGCCACAACAAUCAUUACAAAGUCAUCAUACAGUUACGCUAAGCACAAAAUUAAAUCAAUAUAAUUACUCUCUUUGGGCACGCUUGAUGAGAAUGGCAAUCGGAAGUAGAGGACAGUUAAGGCACAUCACUGGAGUUCCAGCACCACCGGAGAAAAGCACCUUGGACUAUACUAAAUGGGAGCAAACAGACCUGUUAGUAUGUUCUUGGAUGCUAGAUAAUAUGGAAGCUGAGUUAAUUACAGACUAUGCAGAGUAUCCAACAGCCAAGGAUUUAUGGGAUGGUCUGGCUACAACCUACAGUCAGGGACGAGAAGGAGUUCAAUUGUUUGAUCUUACGGUUCGAGCAAACACAAUGAAACAAGGCACAGAUACAUUGGAGGUUUAUUACAGUAAAUUGCAGAGACUAUGGCGGGAGAUAGAAGUCAGACAACCUAAUCCUAUGAUUUGUGCAGAUGACAUCACAAUGUUUAAUAAACUCAGAUCGGACCAGAAAUUGUAUCAAUUUCUCGCUGGAAUUGGAGAAGAAUUUGAUUCAGAUAAAAGAGAUUUGCUGAAAACAGAACCUUUACCUACCUCAGAGGCAGCCUAUGCAACAAUUCGAAGGGAACGAGAUCGUCGAAAAGCUAUGACUGGAAAUCUAUCAUCGGCAGUCACCUCAGGAGUUGGAGCUGGCCUACUUUCAUCAUUGGUGGCCGCUUCGGAAGGAGGAAAAUCAGUGAC
rnacentral:lncRNA from 1 species